rnacentral:rRNA from 1 species
CCUACGGGCGGCAGCAGUGGGGAAUAUUGGACAAUGGGGGGAACCCUGAUCCAGCCAUGCCGCGUGUGUGAAGAAGGCCCUCGGGUUGUAAAGCACUUUCAGUGAGGAAGAACGCCUGGUGGUUAAUACCCAUCAGGAAAGACAUCACUCACAGAAGAAGCACCGGCUAACUCCGUGCCAGCAGCCGCGGUAAUACGGAGGGUGCGAGCGUUAAUCGGAAUUACUGGGCGUAAAGCGCGCGUAGGUGGCGUGAUAAGCCGGUUGUGAAAGCCCCGGGCUCAACCUGGGAACGGCAUCCGGAACUGUCAAGCUAGACGGCAGGAGAGGAAGGUAGAAUUCCCGGUGUAGCGGUGAAAUGCGUAGAGAUCGGGAGGAAUACCAGUGGCGAAGGCGGCCUUAUGGACUGACGCUGACACUGAGGUGCGAAAGCGUGGGUAGCAAACAGGAUUAGAUACCCGAGUAGUC